rnacentral:tRNA from 1 species
AAGUAAGAAGCGAUUCUUUGCAUUCAGUUUCGACCUGACCCUAGAUAUAAUUUAUCCUUACUUU